rnacentral:rRNA from 1 species
GCUCCCUGAUGUUAGCGGCGGACGGGUGAGUAACACGUGGGUAACCUGCCUGUAAGACUGGGAUAACUCCGGGAAACCGGGGCUAAUACCGGAUGCUUGUUUGAACCGCAUGGUUCAAACAUAAAAGGUGGCUUCGGCUACCACUUACAGAUGGACCCGCGGCGCAUUAGCUAGUUGGUGAGGUAAUGGCUCACCAAGGCAACGAUGCGUAGCCGACCUGAGAGGGUGAUCGGCCACACUGGGACUGAGACACGGCCCAGACUCCUACGGGAGGCAGCAGUAGGGAAUCUUCCGCAAUGGACGAAAGUCUGACGGAGCAACGCCGCGUGAGUGAUGAAGGUUUUCGGAUCGUAAAGCUCUGUUGUUAGGGAAGAACAAGUACCGUUCGAAUAGGGCGGUACCUUGACGGUACCUAACCAGAAAGCCACGGCUAACUACGUGCCAGCAGCCGCGGUAAUACGUAGGUGGCAAGCGUUGUCCGGAAUUAUUGGGCGUAAAGGGCUCGCAGGCGGUUCCUUAAGUCUGAUGUGAAAGCCCCCGGCUCAACCGGGGAGGGUCAUUGGAAACUGGGGAACUUGAGUGCAGAAGAGGAGAGUGGAAUUCCACGUGUAGCGGUGAAAUGCGUAGAGAUGUGGAGGAACACCAGUGGCGAAGGCGACUCUCUGGUCUGUAACUGACGCUGAGGAGCGAAAGCGUGGGGAGCGAACAGGAUUAGAUACCCUGGUAGUCCACGCCGUAAACGAUGAGUGCUAAGUGUUAGGGGGUUUCCGCCCCUUAGUGCUGCAGCUAACGCAUUAAGCACUCCGCCUGGGGAGUACGGUCGCAAGACUGAAACUCAAAGGAAUUGACGGGGGCCCGCACAAGCGGUGGAGCAU